rnacentral:rRNA from 1 species
GUGGGGAAUCUUGCGCAAUGGGCGAAAGCCUGACGCAGCCAUGCCGCGUGAAUGAUGAAGGUCUUAGGAUUGUAAAAUUCUUUCACCGGGGACGAUAAUGACGGUACCCGGAGAAGAAGCCCCGGCUAACUUCGUGCCAGCAGCCGCGGUAAUACGAAGGGGGCUAGCGUUGCUCGGAAUUACUGGGCGUAAAGGGCGCGUAGGCGGACAGUUUAGUCAGAGGUGAAAGCCCAGGGCUCAACCGUGGAAUUGCCUUUGAUACUGGCUGUCUUGAGUACGGGAGAGGUGAGUGGAACUCCGAGUGUAGAGGUGAAAUUCGUAGAUAUUCGGAAGAACACCAGUGGCGAAGGCGACUCACUGGCCCGUUACUGACGCUGAGGCGCGAAAGCGUGGGGAGCAAACAGGAUUAGAAACCCUUGUAGUCC